rnacentral:rRNA from 1 species
AUGCAGUCGAGCGAGAAGCACUUCGGUGCGAGUACAGCGGCGGACGGGUGAGUAACGCGUAGGAAUCUACCUGGUAGUGGGGGACAACAUGGUGAAAACCAUGCUAAUACCGCAUACGCCCUAAGGGGGAAAGCGGGGGAUCUUCGGACCUCGCGCUAUUGGAUGAGCCUGCGUAAGAUUAGCUAGUUGGUGGGGUAAAAGCUCACCAAGGCGACGAUCUUUAGCUGGUCUGAGAGGAUGAUCAGCCACACUGGAACUGAGACACGGUCCAGACUCCUACGGGAGGCAGCAGUGGGGAAUAUUGCGCAAUGGGCGAAAGCCUGACGCAGCCAUGCCGCGUGUGUGAAGAAGGCCUUAGGGUUGUAAAGCACUUUCAAUUGGGAAGAAAGGUUGUCCGUUAAUAGCGUGCAGCUGUGACAUUACCUUUAGAAGAAGCACCGGCUAACUCCGUGCCAGCAGCCGCGGUAAUACG